UACGAAGGGGGCUAGCGUUGUUCGGAUUUACUGGGCGUAAAGCGCACGUAGGCGGAUUGGUCAGUUAGGGGUGAAAUCCCAGAGCUCAACUCUGGAACUGCCUUUAAUACUGCCAAUCUAGAGUCCGGAAGAGGUAAGUGGAACUCCUAGUGUAGAGGUGGAAUUCGUAGAUAUUAGGAAGAACACCAGUGGCGAAGGCGGCUUCCUGGACCGGUUCUGACACUGAGGAGCGAAAGCGUGGGGAGCGAUCCGG
rnacentral:rRNA from 1 species